CCAAUAGCGUAUAUUAAAGUUGUUGCAGUUAAAAAGCUCGUAGUUGAAUUUCGGGGUUAGUAGGUUGGUCGUGCCUAUGGUAUGUACUGGCUUUACUGAUUCCUCCUUCUUGAAGAACUGUAAUGUCAUUAAUUUGGUGUUGCAGGGAAACAGGACUGUUACUUUGAAAAAAUUAGAGUGUUUAAAGCAGGCUAACGCUUGAAUACAUUAGCAUGGAAUAAUGAAAUAGGACGUUUGAUCCUAUUUUGUUGGUUUCUAGGAUUGACGUAAUGAUUAAUAGGGAUAGUUGGGGGCAUUAGUAUUCAAUUGUCAGAGGUGAAAUUCUUGGAUUUAUUGAAGACUAACUACUGCGAAAGCAUUUGCCAAGGAUGUUUUCAUUAAUCAAGAACGAAAGUUAGGGGAUCGAAGACGAUCAGAUACCGUCGUAGUCUUAACCAUAAACUAUGCCGACUAGGGAUCGGAUGAUGUUAAUUUUUUAAUGACUCAUUCGGCGCCUUACG
rnacentral:rRNA from 1 species